GGAUUUUUCUGUAAUAAAUCUCUUCAGAAGAUGGAUUUCUUGUGCAUAAAGAGACUAUUGUGCACAUUCUCAAAACAAAAUCUAUGGUCCGACAGAAACUGGAAUCUAAAGAUCCUAAGCUUCUUCAAAGCCCCUAGCUUCCAAAGAGACACAAAACAUAGUAUAGACCGUACACAAUGUAUGUAGCAUAGGUGUAAGUAAAGAUUUGUACCGGCUCUCUUAGGCAGUGAACC